rnacentral:rRNA from 1 species
CCUACGGGUGGCAGCAGUGGGGAAUAUUGGUCAAUGGGCGCAAGCCUGACCCAGCAACGCCGCGUGAAGGAUGACGGCCCUCGGGUUUGUAACCUCUUUUUUCAGGGGAGUAUAGAAGACGGUACCUGACUAAUACGCCACGUCUAACUACGUGCCAGCAGCCGCGGUACUACGUAGGUGGCAGGCGUUGUCCGGAUUUACUGGGUGUAAAGGGCGUGUAGCCGGGUUGACAAGUCAGAUGGGAAAUCCUGCGGCUUAACCGCAGAACUGCAUUUGAAACUGUUGAUCUUGAGUGCUGGAGAGGCAGAUGGAAUUCAUGGUGUAGCGGUGAAAUGCGUAGAUAUUAGGAGGAACACCGGUGGCGAAGGCGGGCUGCUGGAGAGCAACUGACGGUGAGGCGCGAAAGCGUGGGGAGCAAACAGGAUUAGAUACCCGGGUAGUC